CAGAAGAGUUUUAAUACUCAGAACUGUUUGAUAAUAACUUAUUGUGUGUUAAUUUAUACAUUGCCUUUAUUUAUCCCCAUUCAGUUAGAGUCUGAGUUGUUACAGAGAUAAUGAGUCAAAUGUCUGGUGCAUGGAGCUGUAACAAUGUGGAGGAGCAUAGGAUGAAACUUUGCCACAGGUGGGAAAUACUAACAUGCAGAAAAGGAGUCCUAAAAAUGACUCAAUAUGUGCUAAAUAAAUGACUUUUAAAUGUAGUAAGUGCCACUUCUGUACACAAUUAUUGGUAAAGAAUAAUUUUGGAGUCCAUUUUUAGAUACCUUGUCAGCUUUCAAAAAUAUCACCAUUUGAACACAGCAAGUGGUUUCUGAUUUUUAUUUCUUUAAUUUGCCAGAUUGUUUGUAUUCUUGUAAUUAUAACUAGCCUAAAUGGAUAGCUAUUGAGAGUGUAGUGUCUGUGCUGAAGAUGUUAAUGCAUUUAUGUUUUCUUUAUUGCUCUGGGAAAUAGUGGUAUUUCAUGUUAACAUUGUGAGUUCCUCUGUACCUCUUUAGCACACUAUUUAUUCCAUAAAUAACAUGACAAUAAAAAUAAAGUCGAGUGACCACCCGCUUUAAAUCUACAUUCAAAUCAAAUUUCGUCACUAAAUUAUUGACAUAAAUAAAUACACAUAAUUGGUUUUCAAAAUGUGGCUACCUCCUCAUUAUUCAGGACUUGAUUAUACAGGUCAUAAGUUACUGAUAUGGUUUGACUCUGUGUCCCCACCCAAAUCUCAUCUUGUAGUUCCCAUAAUUCCCACAUGUUGUUGGAGGAACCCGGUGGAAGGUGACUGAAUUAUGGGGGCGGGUCUUUCCUGCACUGUUCUCGUGAUAGUGAAUGGGUCUCACGAGAUUUGGUGGUGUUAAAAACGGGAGUUUCUCUGCACAAGCUCUCUCUUUGCCUGCCACCAACCACAUAAGAUAUGACUUGCCUCCCCAGCCACAUGGAACUGUGAGUACAAUUAAACCUCUUUCUUUUGUAAGUUGCCCAAUCUCGGUUAUGUCUUUGUCAGCAGUGUGAAAACAGACUAACACAGUUACUUAAGCUUGUUUCCUGCUUGUCAGCAUCACCACUAGAGUCAGGAUUCAGGAAGAGAGAAGAGGAAAAAAGCAUGACAACCAUGUUUGCAUCCAAUAAUCAGUUAUUCUACUGAUGUUAUGGGGAGGAAAUUGUAGUAUCUUGCUAAGAUAAAGAUUGUGGGUUAUUAGUAGAUUUAAUUAGUCCAUACUAAAGGCUGUUGUAAUUAGAACUGAGAACACAAAGUUGAAAUCACGUACAUUUAUAAACAUGUAUUAUAUCUGUAUAUUAGUCUAUGCUAUAUAUAAAUACGAAGAAAUAACUCUUCACAAUGGCUAUAAUAAAAAGUGUAGUUACUUCC
rnacentral:lncRNA from 1 species